rnacentral:misc_RNA from 1 species
AAAGUCGUAACAAGGUUUCCGUAGGUGAACCUGCGGAAGGAUCAUUAAUAAUAACAAAACUUUAACCAUGUGAAUUGGUCUAAUUGCUGCAUGCAUGCAUGCAUGUGUGCAUUGAUUGGACUUUCUCUGUUGUAGUGGCUGACUGAAAAUUUUGGCUGCUACACAGAGACUUUAAACUAGAUGUCUAAUUUAAUGUCUUAAUCGAAUCAAAACAACUUUUAACAAUGGAUCUCUUGGCUCUU